AUUGAACGCUGGCGGCAUGCUUUACACAUGCAAGUCGAACGGCAGCGCGGGCUUCGGCCUGGCGGCGAGUGGCGAACGGGUGAGUAAUACAUCGGAACGUGCCCAGUAGUGGGGGAUAGCUCGGCGAAAGCCGGAUUAAUACCGCAUACGACCUGAGGGUGAAAGCGGGGGAUCUUCGGACCUCGCGCUAUUGGAGCGGCCGAUGGCAGAUUAGCUAGUUGGUGGGGUAAAGGCCUACCAAGGCGACGAUCUGUAGCUGGUCUGAGAGGACGACCAGCCACAGUGGGACUGAGAGACGGCCGAGACUACUACGGGAGGCAGCAGUGGGGAAUGUUGGACAAUGGGGGAAAGCCUGAUGCAGCAAUGACGAGAGUGAGAUGAAGGCCUUAGGGCUGUAAAGCAAUUUAGGCGAGAACGAAAAGGAGCGUGGCAAAACCACGGUUCGAUGACGGUGCCCGCAGAAUAAGCGCGGACUAACUACGUG
rnacentral:rRNA from 1 species